rnacentral:rRNA from 1 species
UACAGAGGUCUCAAGCGUUGUUCGGAUUCAUUGGGCGUAAAGGGUGUGUAGGUGGCGCGCUAAGUCGGGUGUGAAAUUUCGGAGCUUAACUCCGAAACUGCAUUCGAUACUGGCGUGCUUGAGGACUGGAGAGGAGACUGGAAUUCAUGGUGUAGCAGUGAAAUGCGUAGAGAUCAUGAGGAAGACCAGUGGCGAAGGCGGGUCUCUGGACAGUUCCUGACACUGAGACACGAAGACCAGGGGAGCAAACGGG